AAAAGUCUGCCUCAUGUGAUGGCCCCUGUAGGACUGAGGACUGCCCUGUUGAGCAGAGUCAAGGCUUCCCAGUGGACUUCCCUCCCAUGAUAUGCUAUGGACAGGACUUCAAGGAAAGAGCCCGCUGUGUGAGGAUCCUCUUGGAAAGCUGCCCGGGAGAUAUGGUGAUGGGGAGCUGGCCUGGAGCCGGAAUGCCAAAGGCUGGGCACACCCAACCUUCCUCAUCGACUGUACCAGUGGGAAGCCUCUGCCUCUGCCUGGGCCAUUCCCACCCCCUCUCCAAAGGCCCCACUCAGGAUCCAUCCCCCCCACAUGAGAAUCUAUAUCCUAUUCUGCUGGGACCUGCCCAGGCCUACUCAGGAGGUCCCCCAGUGUGGAGCAGUUGUGGCAGAGCUGGGCAAACAGCUGGGCAAGAGCACCGAAGACCUGGCUCCUGGCCCAGUCAGGCAGCCUAGGUCCAAGGAGGGGCCCAAGUCCAAGGCAAUGCCCUCCAAAUCCUUCUUGCCCACAAGGGCUCGGGACAUAGUCAAGGACUCGCUGAAAGCAUGCUGUUCCUGCCUCAGUGGGCCAGAGGAUUAAAGUUGUGUGUGGGGGGGGUGGCAAUUCAGUUCAAUUCAAGACACAUUUUUUGAGUGCCUACUGUGUGCAUGAUCCUGGGCUUGACACUGGGGACACAAAUAUAAAAAGGGAGCUUACAACCUAACACACAAGUACAGUAUCUGUUAACAAGCAUUUAUUUUUUAAAAUAAAUUUUUAUUGUUAUCUUUUAUUUUUACA
rnacentral:lncRNA from 1 species